rnacentral:lncRNA from 1 species
AGAUGCAAUUUAUAAUUUGUCAUAAAACCAAAAAAUUAAUCAGCCAAAAUUUAUGAAAAGUCAUAGAAAGAAAAUGGAAGUCAACCAGCCUUAAUAUCAAUUACAAGCAGUUUUACCGAGUGAAAAGUUAUGUGCCUUGCUGGUUUCUUCUACCUUGGAGCCAUGACAAAGAAAUCCACUCUCCAGUUUGAUUUGGCAGGUGAAACUAAAGGAAACAAAAGAAAUAACAAACACAAUGUAGAGAGAGAAAGGAAGAAAUAAAACCAAAAGUAGGAAGGAGUUUAACACUGCUAAAGGAUGACAAAAUAUCUGCUACACUGUUGACAAUAAUUCUUUCUCUAUCUCGUCCAAUGAUUGUCAACAAAGUGCUUGGAUAUAUGUGUAAGAAUGCCUAGUGCACAUUUUAAGCAACAAUCUACUACAUCGGCCUCUGCAUGACACUGCUUGUCGAAAACUGAUGCAGACUGCAAGCUUUAUAGUAAGGGCCUUUUUGCAUAUGCAGACUGCAAGCUUUAUAGUAAGGGCCUCUUUGCAUAUGCAGACUGCUUAACUGUUCUUCUAGUUU